rnacentral:tRNA from 1 species
CAGGGAGACAACACAAUGAUUUUGAUGCGUGAGUGCUUUUAUUCUUAGGCCGAAAUCCUGUCACCUUAGGUCGAUCGGUACCUCAGCUUUGAAGUCAAGGAUCAGCAGCAAUGUUGAUUGCUUGAUGGAGAUUUUCAGUUCCUAAACUUUGUCUAGGUCACACCCCAAAAGGGAUGAGACUCCUGGGCCAUUAGCUCAGGUGGUUAGAGCGCACCCCUGAUAAGGGUGAGGUCCCUGGUUCAAGUCCAGGAUGGCCCAUUCGGUGUUGGGGGUUUAGCUCAGUUGGUAGAGCGCCUGCUUUGCAAGCAGGAUGUCAGGAGUUCGAGUCUCCUAACCUCCACUGACCGAACUUGAUUCCCAUCUCCAAUUUUUUGGAGUUGAGCUCGAUUGGAGUGUGAUUUAGAUGUGUCCGCUGGUUGACCCCAGCUUCCUGUCAUUCCAAGUUUUAGGUUGAUGCCUUGAAUUUGGUUGAUAAGAUGCUGGGCUCGGAUCAAAUGAUCAAGCAAUUGAUGAUUUGAUUUGAAGUUCUAGCAGAACCUUGACAACUGCAUAGGUGAGUCUGGAAAAAACAAAGCAUCUUACAGAUGCAUUGUUUUGAAUCUGAUCUUCUGAAAGGGAGAUUGGAUCUAGAACAAUGAAAAUUCUUUUGAGCAAGAGCCGAGACUCUUGAGCGUUCUUUGAUUGGUGUCGAGCCAAUCAGAGUUUGAUCUUGUUUUUAGCAAUAAAAACUUGAGAAUCUGCUUUCAACGGUGGUAAGCGUUCAGGAGGUUAAUU